AAUAUGCAUAGUUAGAUAAGCAAGGCCAGGACAAGUCCCAGUGCAGAGAUCAACUUCACCUGCUGCUCCUGCUGAGUCAGUGUUUGUUUGCACCAUUUGGGCACUGGAUUAGUAUCCAGUGUCAGUCCCCUCUCUACCAAGGACUAGGAAAAUUAUUUCAAUUUCUCUUUCCUUUGUGCACUGACUGCUGCAAGCUUGGGUGGAGCAAGACAGACACUUUGAAGAUGUUGCUGUGUUAAUCAAGGUGUUCAAAGUGGAAGACUGCAUCUUGCUUGUAUCAGUAUAAGUGCACGAAUUUGUGGGCUAGCCAGGACCUUGUAUGAGUACAGCCCCAGGUUAAUGAGGAAGGUGGAUGGUUGGAGAAAUACCUCAAAUUGCCUCUGGCUUCAUUGCAGACCUUGACCCUACAGGGAGCAGCCUUCAGCAAGAAGCCUCUGAUGGAACACCAACUGAUGCUUCAGUCUGAGGAGAGGUGAAUGCAAAAUGUGACACCUCAACAGCCCAUGGGGCCCACUUCUGUGCAAAUGUCAGAGAGUGAGAAGACAAAGCAAUCCCCAUUCCUGUGUUGCAACUGGCAAACACAUUGAGGGCACAUGAUAUGGUACUGCUCCACGCACUGUGGCAGUCAGGGGACAACAGCCAUAUGCUUUUAGUCACAGCCUGUCACUUCAUCAGUUGCCCUGCAGUGCUGUGGGUGAGCUGUAGAGCCAAAUACCACCCUCACACCUUCCAAAAAGGGUGUGUGGAGCUGUUCCUUGGAGGCAAGCCAUACCAACCCAGCUACCCCUGGGUCUGCUCCAAAUCCCAGGGAAGGUGAAGGACAGGUCCCCCACUGAGGGUAUCAUCACAGAGCUCACUAUGGAGCUCACUCCUGCCACUUAAGAAAUCUUAUUCUAGCAGGAAGUUGCCCUGCCUCCCAAAGCAACGAAGUAUGUAUGUGCUUAACAAACUCAAGCUCUGCUCCUCUCACAAGCCAAAAUACAUUGUUUCCAUGCCUGCCUGGAUUCUAAAUUAGCAGAACAAACAUUCAUUUAAAAUGAAUGAUUUCAAGUCAGAGGGAUACAAAUCAGAGACUGUAUUUCUCAUUAGAAGAAUACUGUUACACCAAAAAAUACUACCUAGAUUUUCAAUCUCCUAUAGACUGGGCCAAAGUUCUCAUUAUAAAGUGGUCAACAGGCAGUAUAACCAGUUCCGGCUCCACAUCUUACAUGUCUAGACAUUGACAGAGCUCACAUCUUUAUUUGGCCUGGGAGCAGCUGGACCCAGAAAGAGCUGUUUCUCUCUUCUGCUGCGCACUGCAGGGACCCCAGCAGCUGCAGCAUUCAGGUAUUGUCAUAGGGAAAUGGGGAUGAACGAGAAAUGGAGGAAGGAGUGCCUGUGGGCUCCUGUCCUGAAGGGGAAACCGAAGAGAGGGAUCAGGCAACAUUAACUGAAACUUCACACAAAGUUAUUUAGAACAUUUCAACAGCUCUGCCUCAACUGCUCCCAACUCUUUUGAGUUUCUGCUAUCUUUCUUGCUAUCCCUGCCAGCCAUGCUUUCUUUCACCUGGGCCAAGAAACCGUUUUUGCAUGGAGGUGAUCCUGGUCCAUAGAUCUCCUGAGGAAGUGUCAAACCAGGCAGGACAGCUAUUUGGAACAGGUUAUAAGAGGUUACCUCAGGCAAGUACAGAUGUGUGAUGAACACAUUACUCCAAAGGGAGUUCAUAAUUUGAUACAGACCUUUGGAAGCAUCAUUACCAAAUUCUAGGCAUGCAAAUUAAAACUCCGGUUGCUUCAGGUCUGAUUCAGACUGCUGCACAGUCAACAGGACUCUCACUGCCUCUAGUGGCUUUUUAAUGUGAUCUUUAUUGAAUAAAUAAUGAAGAAGUAAACCUGUAUAGAAUCUGAUUACCUGGUCUCCAGCCUCUGAAUGAACUCUCUGCUGCAUCAUGGAAAUACAACAUUGGCAUGUGAAAUUUCAGCAAAAACUAGAUCAGCAUUUCCAUUGCCCAGCUGGGUACCUCUAGUCAAGCUCAUCUAUGACUUCUGCUGAUCCUAAGUGUCUAGUCUCUGUUACAUAAGAGGUAAGACUAUGAUUUACAACUGUCCUCUCUGCUUUUAAUAAUCCACAAUGAUACCUUUUUAACAUGAAUGCUAAGCAGCUGCAAGUGCCUGCACCAGCUGGCAAAUCUGCCCUGCAACCACUCACCCUUUCCAGAAGUCACUGUGGCACCAAGACUGCCAAGAUGCUGCCCUGAGAUGAUCCAAAGGAUCUCUUUUAUUUUAGUAGCACAGCUGUUUGUUAUUCUGUCCAGGAGCAGUAAAGCUAUCAAUUGCACAGAAGGAGAACAUUUUGAAGCACUCUGAACAGCAAAUAAUCCUCUGCUCAGGAUAUUAAAAUAUCACAAGCCACAAAUUUCUCAGUGUUAUUACUUUGUAGCUGGCAUCUGUGUGUUUUAGCACCCCAGUCUAUAGGCUGAGAA